CCUACGGGAGGCAGCAGUGAGGAAUAUUGGUCAAUGGCCGUAAGGCUGAACCAGCCAAGUAGCGUGAGGGAAGACUGCCCUAUGGGUUGUAAACCUCUUUUAUGCGGGGAUAAAGGUGUCCACGUGUGGAUGUUUGCAGGUACCGCAUGAAUAAGGACCGGCUAAUUCCGUGCCAGCAGCCGCGGUAAUACGGAAGGUCCGAGCGUUAUCCGGAUUUAUUGGGUUUAAAGGGAGCGUAGAUGGGUUGUUAAGUCAGUUGUGAAAGUUUGCGGCUCAACCGUAAAAUUGCAAUUGAUACUGGCAGUCUUGAGUACAGUUGAGGUAGGCGGAAUUCGUGGUGUAGCGGUGAAAUGCUUAGAUAUCACGCAGAACCCCGAUUGCGAAGGCAGCAUACCGGUGCACAACUGACGCUCAGGCACGAAAGCGUGGGUAUCGAACAGGAUUAGAUACCCCUGUAGUC
rnacentral:rRNA from 1 species